rnacentral:rRNA from 1 species
GACGAACGCUGGCGGCGUGCCUAAUACAUGCAAGUUGAGCGAUGAAGAUUGGUGCUUGCACCAAUUUGAAGAGCAGCGCACGGGUGAGUAACGCGUGGGGAAUCUGCCUUUGAGCGGGGGACAACAUUUGGAAACGAAUGCUAAUACCGCAUAAUAACUUUAAACAUAAGUUUUAAGUUUGAAAGAUGCAAUUGCAUCACUCAAAGAUGAUCCCGCGUUGUAUUAGCUAGUUGGUGAGGUAAAGGCUCACCAAGGCGAUGAUACAUAGCCGACCUGAGAGGGUGAUCGGCCACAUUGGGACUGAGACACGGCCCAAACUCCUACGGGAGGCAGCAGUAGGGAAUCUUCGGCAAGAGACGAAAGUCUGACCGAGCAACGCCGCGUGAGUGAAGAAGGUUGUCGGAUCGUAAAACUCUGUUGGUAGAGAAGAACGUUGGUGAGAGUGGAAAGCUCAUCAAGUGACGGUAACUACCCAGAAAGGGACGGCUAACUACGUG